AUUGAACGCUGGCGGCAGGCCUAACACAUGCAAGUCGAGCGGAUGAAGGGAGCUUGCUCCUGGAUUCAGCGGCGGACGGGUGAGUAAUGCCUAGGAAUCUGCCUGGUAGUGGGGGAUAACGUCCGGAAACGGGCGCUAAUACCGCAUACGUCCUGAGGGAGAAAGUGGGGGAUCUUCGGACCUCACGCUAUCAGAUGAGCCUAGGUCGGAUUAGCUAGUUGGUGGGGUAAAGGCCUACCAAGGCGACGAUCCGUAACUGGUCUGAGAGGAUGAUCAGUCACAAUGGAACUGAGACACGGUCCAGACUCCUACGGGAGGCAGCAGUGGGGAAUAUUGGACAAUGGGCGAAAGCCUGAUCCAGCCAUGCCGCGUGUGCGAAGAAGGUCUUCGGAUUGUAAAGCACUUUAAGUUGGGAGGAAGGGCAGUAAGUUAAUACCUUGCUGUUUUGACGUUACCAACAGAAUAAGCACCGGCUAACUUCGUG
rnacentral:rRNA from 1 species